GAUGAACGCUGGCGGUCUGCUUAACACAUGCAAGUCGAACGGAAUCCUUCGGGAUUUAGUGGCGGACGGGUGAGUAACGCGUGAGAAUCUGCCUUCAGGUUCGGGACAACAGCUGGAAACGGCUGCUAAUACCGGAUGUGCCGAGAGGUGAAAGCUUUAGUGCCUGAAGAUGAGCUCGCGUCUGAUUAGCUAGUAGGAGUGGUAAUGGGACCCCUAGGCGACGAUCAGUAGCUGGUCUGAGAGGAUGAUCAGCCACACUGGGACUGAGACACGGCCCAGACUCAUACGGGAGGCAGCAGUGGGGAAUUUUCCGCAAUGGGCGCAAGCCUGACGGAGCAAGACCGCGUGAGGGAGGAAGGUCUGUGGAUUGUAAACCUCUUUUGAUGGGGAAGAAGACAGUGACGGUACCCAUCGAAUCAGCCUCGGCUAACCCCGUGCCAGCCGCCGCCGUAA
rnacentral:rRNA from 1 species